GACAGAGGGUGCAAACGUUGUUCGGAAUUACUGGGCGUAAAGCGCGUGUAGGCGGGAAGGCAAGUCGGACGUGAAAGGCUGGGGCUCAACCCCAGACGGCCGUUCGAAACUGCUUUUCUUGAGGGUCGAAGAGGAGCGUGGAAUUCCUGGUGUAGCGGUGAAAUGCGUAGAGAUCAGGAGGAACACCCGUGGCGAAGGCGGCGCUCUGGUCGGCCCCUGACGCUGAGACGCGAAAGCGUGGGGAGCGAACGGG
rnacentral:rRNA from 1 species